rnacentral:rRNA from 1 species
CAACGCGAAGAACCUUACCAAGGCUUGACAUACACCGGAAACGGCCAGAGAUGGUCGCCCCCUUGUGGUCGGUGUACAGGUGGUGCAUGGUUGUCGUCAGCUCGUGUCGUGAGAUGUUGGGUUAAGUCCCGCAACGAGCGCAACCCUCGUUCUAUGUUGCCAGCGGGUUAUGCCGGGGACUCAUAGGAGACUGCCGGGGUCAACUCGGAGGAAGGUGGGGAUGACGUCAAAUCAUCAUGCCCCUUAUGUCUUGGGCUUCACGCAUGCUACAAUGGCCGGUACAAAGGGCUGCGAUACCGUAAGGUGGAGCGAAUCCCAAAAAGCCGGUCUCAGUUCGGAUUGAGGUACUGCAACUGCGAC